AUGGUUUGGAGACUCGAUAAAAGUACAAUAUAACUCAUUAACCAUGUUAUUGUCCAGCUUUAUGCAAGAAUUUGGUCCUAUCUCGUCACGUGUGCAUUGUAUUUUCGCUCGAAUAACCAAUAAUAAGUUUGUCGUUGAGUUAUCCAUCCGUAACUUGAACAAAUGCUCAAUUUAAACAUUGCUAUUGGUUGUGCGGGAAAAAAUGCAAUACACACGUGACGAGAUAGGCCCAAAUUCUUGCAUAAACCGAAACCAACAUAGUUAAUGAGUUAUAUUAUACUUUCAUCGAGUCUCCAAACCAUGUACUCUAUUAACUG